rnacentral:rRNA from 1 species
UGAGGAACAUGACCUUCGGCGGGGGAUAGCCGGCCCAACGGCCGGGUAAUACCGCGUACGACCACAUGGGGACAUCCCUGAGUGGUGAAAGCAGCAAUGCGCCGAUGGAGUGCCUCGCGGCCUAUCAGCUAGUUGGUGAGGUAACGGCUCACCAAGGCGACGACGGGUANCUGGUCUGAGAGGAUGGCCAGCCACAUUGGGACUGAGACACGGCCCAGACCUCUACGGGGAG